GGUUACUGAACUAAAAACUGCUUGAGUAGAUAUUGGUAUAUUUUGUGGGACUAACCCCUGCAGGAAAACUUUCAAUAUCAACCUGGGAAGUCCUGAGAUACAAACUCAUUAGAGAUAAAGGAGACACAUGAAAUUUAACAUUUUGCACAAGAAGGACAUAGCUCAUUCAUCAUAAAGAGAUGAUCCAUGAAGGGUGCCACAAACACGAUGCACAACCGCUAAGAAAGGAAAGCUUCCACAAGGUGAUACUAUACCAUCACUCUUCAAGUAAGGUAACAUCUUAAGGUACUUGACUAUCGCUUUUAUAAGCUUCGCCUUGGUUCUGGCAUUCACAUAAAUAAAGAGACAAACAUGUAUGAUUUAUAACUCUAAAUUAACCUAACUGAUUCAGCAUAUUUAGUCCUUUAAUCUUUGUUCUUAGUACUACCUUCGUGAUCUCACACUCCUAAUCAUAUAAGCUAAUAUGUUGCACAUUCAAUCUUUGGAAGAUAUAAACAAAACAUAAAUAUAGAUAGAUUAUCUUUCCAUUAGGUUGAGCCAUCUGAUCUAACAAAUGUUUUAAAUGCUACACUCAUGAUCCAUCAACUUUGUCUUGCUCAAUAUGCUUAAGGUUAGAGAAGAACAAAUACGCUUUUGGUUCUGUUGGUGUUUUCCACCAACAGGGCCCAUGCACUUGAUCUCUGCCUUGUCUCUAUGAGCAGGACACAUUUUGAGAAACGUGAAGGCGUUUUACAACUCUCAGAUUCCAUCAAGUGAAGAACCGAGAUCUACGAGCACAAACACAAUGGAGAUCAGACACUUAGUUUCCCAAAGGAAUAUUGAAGAACCUCUGUGUCCGAGUUGGUACCUUGUACACUCCAGCAAACUUCGUGGUGAUAGAGACUGGUAGUGAGGAGAGAGCACCCAUCAUCUUAGGGAGGCCAUUCCUAAACACUAGAGCAGUCAUCUAUGCUAAUGCUGCCAAGAUCAGUCUCUACAUCAAGGGGAAGAAGGAGAGUUUCCUUCAAGAACAAGACUACACAAGCUUCAGAGCAAACCCGACAUGAACCAAGGAAGAGGACCAACAGGAGGAACAGGAACAAGCAAAUGUGGACCGAGUCAGCUAAGAUGGUCACUGCAGUUCAAGAAGGACGACCCUGGUGUUCUAAGCAUUGAGUGCACAAUCAACAGAUACUCUUUUCAGAAGACACUCUACGACACCGGAUCUGACGUCAACAUAAUGGUCGUAGUCACUUAUCAGCUCCUGCAUGAAACCAUGCCCCUACAACCAAUAUACAUUCAGCUAUAGAUGACUUUCAAGUUAUUGACAUGGGAGAAGAUGAAUAUGAUCCACCCACCAUCCUUGGAAGACAGUUCCUCAGCACUAUCAAGGCCAUUAUUUAUAUUGGAACCGGAGAAGUCCACAUGCACUUCCCCUCUGAGAAGGUACGCCACUACUUUAAUGAUUCUAACUAUAUAGUUGAAGAUUCUAAGCAGGUCAAGACAAGAAGAAGAUAACGCAACCGCAACCAGAGGAGGCAAAUCAUAAAGGACGGAUGGGCAGACUACGAAGGAAAAGUGAUAAGGACUGAAGACAUACAGCUUGAACAGAACUGUCCUGAGGAGACCGUAGCACCGAGUCAGGUGUGGAAAGAGAACAUAGUUAUACACAAAGAGGAGGCGCCACCGGAAUCACCGAUUAUGCCACCUAGCGAAUCCCAGGACGACUAAAAACACAAGGAGUCCCAUUCGGAGGACUUAAAAACACCGAACGCCUUGCCAAGAGGUAAACUUGGUAGUUAUCCUUUUUCUUUCAGUUAUUCAAUUAUAGUUUGCUUAGUUAAUCAUGUUCAUGCUAUCUUGAAAAGAAAAUAAAAAUACUAAAAAUGUUAAAAAAUAGUAAGCCCCAUGUGAGUAUGCUCAUGGCAUAAAACCCAUAAAUACAUUCACUGUGGUGGCAUAAAAAUAAAAUAAAUAAGUUUUCAUCUUACAUUAAAAAUAUAUAAAUAUAUAUAUAUAUAAUAAUAAUAAGUGUAUAAUCCUGCUAAAUAAAUAACAUUUAUUAAGGAAGCUCAACAUGAUAAAGGCUAGGUAUUUAUGCUAACACUUAAACAGUUCCACAAAGCUUUGUUGUCUAUUUGAGCUCCACAUAAUUUAAGAAUCAAGAAGACUAGCAGACGGAGGACAUUCUAAUCGCUGUCAAAAUACUGUUGACUUUCAAAUACACCUCCACCACCUGCUAGCUACAUCAGAAGAAAUUACGUCAAAAUCCAGCUUGGGGGAGAGCACCCCCAUUUAUCUCGAUAAGUAUUUCUAUCUAUAUUUAUACUUAUACUAUAUUAGAAUAUAAAUACACAUAACUAUGAAAAACCAAAUAAAGAUUUUAUGCUUAUAUAUAUUUUGCUUAGUGUGUUUAAUAAAUAAAUAAAGUGGCUAUGCUAAUCUGUAUCUAAUAAAACUUAAGCAUGGAUAUGAUGAAUAGUUGCUCUGCCUAAUUUGCAAAUUUGAAGUUCUCUCUCAAGUUUAGAUAUAACUGUUAUAAUUUAAGGCUUGCUCUAGACCUAAACUUGUGGGAUGAAAACUUGAUCUGAUGUCUAAGUUGUUAACGGAUACGAUAUGGGAAGGUUGAGCUGCUGUUUAUCUGUUGCUAGAGAUGCUAGAAUUCUGGAGAAUUUUAUCUUUGAAAAUCUUUAAAAUGUUGCAUGAUGAGUUCCUGUAUGAUGAGAGUUUAAAUUCCUACCACAGCCAUAUAUACAUGCUUGCUAGACUUUGAGCCACACAUUUACUUUUUACUACUUAUGUGCAUUGAGUGUGGUCAAGCUGUGUAGACCCUUAGGAGCUUGUCAUGUGGUUAAAAUCAAGAUUCACUUGCACGUUCACUCAUACAUGCUACUUCUACUCCAGAAGUACCAUCCACAUAUAUCCACUCAUUUCCAUCUCCACAUUCACCCAAAAUUAUUCUACUCCUAAUCUGAGAGAGAAUAGCCAAAAAUAUUUUCCUAUCCCUGUUAUUCCCUGUGAAAUACAUGCUCGAGUUAUCUUAGUUACUACCACUAGCUAUAUUAUCUUAGGAGAUGAGUGCUCUAAAAAAAAGAAAAAAAAGGGGAAGAAAAAAAAUACGAGGAAAUAAAAAGGGGCAAGUGCCCGGAACCUCGAAGAAAAAGAAAAAAAAGUGAGACGAGAGGUAAAAAUGGACAAGUGUCCGACAGUAGAAUUAGGGGUACAAGAUACCCACCUGAGAGGAAAGAAAAAGAAAAAGAUAGAGCAUCUCAUUCUCAUCAUAAAGUUUCAAAAGCAAGAAAGGUAUGUAUCCCCUCAAAGAGCAAAGUAGAAUUAGACUUCCACCACCAUUGUUAUCUCCAUCAUCACCAUACACCAUUCACUCGCCACACAUGCACAUCUUGAUUUGACUUAUUGACUUGUUUCUCUGGAUCCAUGGUUUGACUAUGCAAUAAAUGUCUUGUAAGUAUGUAUUAGCUGUCUCCCACCUAUGAGUUCCAGAUAUCAAAACCUUACUAGAGUAGGGUGAGAGAGAAGGCAAUAUCACUAUGCCUCAUACCAAAAAUACCACAUACUUUGAGAGAAGGCAUAUACCAUUACUGCCUUGGUGAGGAUCCGAAAAUACCACAAAAGAGAGACCUGAGAGAAUCAUACAAGGAAUUUCUGAGUUUUAUUUGAAAAUCUGCAAAAACCCCAGAGCUAUAGCUGGUCAAGAAUAAGAGACAUGGCACUUGGCUAGACUGUUCUAUCUUUUAACCACUCAAGACAGAAGUGACGGUUACAAGUCCUAUGGUGUAGGUAAAGUAAGUAAGUUUUAAGUCUUAACAGUUUACUCUAACCCAGAGAUGAGAUCUUAUUUAAAAGCAUGUGUACCGUCAAAUUUUUAAAGAUAUUGCAACUACUUAUGAUCCAUAGCUGAGUCUAUCCUUGCUCAGGGACGAGCAAGAGGUAAGCUUGGGGGAGUUUGUUGACGGUCCUUAAGUAUCAAAUUUAAUUAUCAAAUAAACAAAGAAAAGGAUCCAAAUGAAAUCAACAUCUAGACUUAGGGUUUUAUCUGACAGAAUUCCACGAGUUUUGGUGUUUGUCUAUUUCUGCAGGGGGUUAUCAGGAAAUAAGGAAGAAAGGCCCACAUGUCGGGAUUACAUAGAGAUAUCAACCCACCGCGCAAUUUUCUACCAUCUAGAAGACUCCAGAAGCCAC
rnacentral:lncRNA from 1 species